rnacentral:rRNA from 1 species
UACAGAGGUCUCAACCGUUGUUCGGAUUCAUUGGGCGUAAAGGGUGCGUAGGCGGGUUUUUAAGUCAGAGGUGAAAUCCUGGAGCUCAACUCCAGAACUGCCUUUGAUACUGAAAGUCUUGAGUAUGGGAGAGGUGAGUGGAACUGCGAGUGUAGAGGUGAAAUUCGUAGAUAUUCGCAAGAACACCAGUGGCGAAGGCGGCUCACUGGCCCAUAACUGACGCUGAGGCACGGAAAGCGUG